UACCAGACUCCUACGGGAGGCAGCAGUGAGGAAUAUUGGUCAAUGGGCGGGAGCCUGAACCAGCCAAGUCGCGUGAGGGAUGACGGCCCUAUGGGUUGUAAACCUCUUUUGCCGGGGAGCAAAGUGCCGCACGUGUGCGGUUUGGAGAGUACCCGGAGAAAAAGCAUCGGCUAACCCCGUGCCAGCAGCCGCGGUAAUACGGAGGAUGCGAGCGUUAUCCGGAUUUACUGGGUGUAAAGGGAGCGCAGACGGCAGUGCAAGUCUGGAGUGAAAGCCCGGGGCCCAACCCCGGAACUGCUCUGGAAACUGUGCGGCUAGAGUACUGGAGGGGCAGGCGGAAUUCCUAGUGUAGCGGUGAAAUGCGUAGAUAUUAGGAGGAACACCAGUGGCGAAGGCGGCCUGCUGGACAGUAACUGACGUUGAGGCUCGAAAGCGUGGGGAGCAAACAGGAUUAGAUACCCCAGUAC
rnacentral:rRNA from 1 species